rnacentral:tRNA from 1 species
GAGUAAUUAACUCAAUGGUAGAGUUUUUCGCUUACAACGAAAGGGUUAAAGGUUCGAAUCCUUUAUUACUCA